UUGGUGGGAGUGUCUGCCGCGAGUAGAAAUCUACUCCUCUCCUGCGGACAGCUAGCAACAACCUCUCCAUUCCCAAAGCUGACUCUCAAAAUCAACUAGAGGAAUUGACACGGGUUGAAUAGGACUUUAAACAAAUCUGUUCUAGAGAAAGUGAUCUUAUUUAGACUGUUUUCAGCCAACAGAAUGGCAUUGUGGCGGGUUACGGUUGUCUUGAUGUGGUAUUUGAUCGCGUUGAGCUCUGCGCGCAGGACUGGUGCUGAAGACGGAGAGGUUUUGGAGAAAACGAACAGCGCGAGAUGUACUUCACGCUGCUUCAGUCUGCACAUGACACAACUCACAGCAUCUUUUAAACAUCUUCAGAGCGAUGACGUCUUGGGCUGGUGUGAGAACCACCGUAGGUGUUCACAGUGCCUACAGCCAUGCAAGGAACUGUGGGAGACCAGAAGAGACCUGUCUCAGAAACCAUGCGAGAAGCAUCAUGAGUGUGUGACCAGUUGGGAGUUCUUGGUGUCUCUGAGGUCAGGGAAGCAGGGGGACUGCCCCCCUCCCCAGCGAGCCAUGGGAUUUGCUGCCGCCUGCGUGGAGAGCUGCUCCGCUGACAAACACUGCUCUGCCUCCAAGAAGUGCUGCUCCAAUGGCUGCGGACACACCUGCCAGGCUCCAGCCAAUCUCUAUAAAGGCGUACCUCUGAAGCCCAGGAAGGACAUAUUAUUUCUGGAGGACCAGCAGGGUCAACUGGAGGUCAGAUGGAUGUCAAAGUUCAAUGUGACCAUCGAGCCAGUCCUCUACAUCCUGCAGCGCAGAUGGAACCACGGAAUACACCCCAGCGAGGACGACGCCUCGCCCUGGCACACCAUCGUCAUGACGAUGGAGGACCGAGCGGUGCUGAAGGACAUCCGUCCCCACAGGUGGUACCAGUUUAGGGUGAGCGCUGUCAACAGCCAGGGCACCCGCGGCUUCACCACCCCCAGCAAACACUUCUUCUCAACCAGAGACCCGUUCCCCCCAGAGGCCCCCCAGAGUGUUCGUGCUGGGAACGAGACCCAGGGGACUGAUGGCAGCAGUGUGGGGGUACAGAUCCUCUGGGACCCCCCCAAAGAGGGAGACCUUCCAGUUCAUCACUACAAGGUCACCUGUAACGCUCGCCACGCCCUUCGCCCCUCUGCACAGGACAGAAAGGACAACGCCCGGGUCACCCAGGGAGCUGUGUGUGAGAUGGAUCUCCAAGGUCUGCUGCCAGGUACCUCUUACCUGAUCCAGGUCCAGGCCAUCUCCUACUGGGGACAGAAACGCCUGAAGAGUGGCCGUGCCCAGCUCACCUUUACCACAAAAACUACAGGUUUGUCAUCUUUACCUCCCCCACCUGGCCCUGAGCAGACUAAAGGUCAGUUCUCUAACGAGCUCCCUUCCGCCCCUCACCUGGUCAACCCUGCUGCCCCUCACCUGGUCAACCCUGCUGCCCCUCACCUGGUCAACCCUGCUGCCCCUCACCUGGUCAACCCUUCGUCUCCCCACAACCUUCGCUUGGAAGCCGCUGCUCCUCACUACCACAACAACCAGCUGCAGGUUAAGGUCUUCUGGAAGAGACGGCACCAAGAAACCUAUAGGGACUCCACUACAUACGUCCUGAGGUGGUAUCCUCAUGUAUGUGCCAGCAACGUCAGCCAGACAGAGAAAAUAGCCACUGUGCAGGGAACACAUUAUGUUAUCACUGGGCUGCUGUUCGCCUGUAAGUACCGGAUCGCUGUGGCGCUCGUAGCACCAGAGGGGGAUCAGAGGUCAGAAGCUGUUACUGCGGUAACGACCCCACCUUGUUCUGCGGUCAUGGCGAGAGGGGGCAAGGCCUUGCCCUGUGCCAGAGAAGAGCGCCCCCUGGUGUCCAAGAAGGUGGUACUGCGUCCUGAGAAGCUGACUGCAGAGUUCCACACGGUCAACGGUUCCCUGCAGGGCCUGUUCCGCUGGCAGCUCUCCCAGACUGCACCGGGGCAGACGCCCAUCGCAGGGUUCCAGUUCUCCUGGGUGCAGGUGUCCUCUAGCACCAUGGCAACGGGAGGACAGGACACCCUUAUCUCUCAGACACAGAUAGUAGCCCCGGACCAGCGCUCUCUGACAGUGGAGUGGCUGCAGCCAGACAGUGUGUAUAAGCUACAGGUCCAGGUGCUGUCAGCAGGUGGCAGUGGCCUCUCAGUGGCCAGGACCCUCCAUACACCUCCCCUCAACACCACUCUGCUAUGAAGUACUGCUACAGGGCCCUCCAUACACCUCCCCUCAACACCGCUCUGCUAUGAGGCUCCACCCCCCAACGUGCUUCGUCCUCUGCUGCUCGUCAUCACUAGCGCCGUAGUGUGUAUUGAGCACACCACCUCCACUAAAACAAACACACACACACACACACACCAAUGCCGUGCCAGUGCUGCACUGCUCUCUGUUGUCUUUAUCACACAGAGAUAUAUUGCAUGAUGAACCAAUCACCUUUACCUGAAAGAUCAGGUGAAUCUAUGCCAUGGCCAUUACACUUACAAUACAUGUAUGUUUAAUGUUUAGAGAUGAUACUUUACAGUCGUGUAUAAUGUAAUCAUAAUUUACACGCGUAAAGAAAAAUAUAUAGCACUGAUGUAUGUAGUCAUACCAAACUGUCUGUGUUUUUCAUGGAUCUCUACACAGUAUGUUCCUGCAAGUAAAAUGGCCCGGCGUAAAGCAGAGUUGUAGUUUAGUAUUUUUGUAAUAUUGCGCUAUAAGUUAUUAUUUCAAGCAUAUGAUAACCCCAGCAGUGACUUUGAUGUAUGUAACCCUCUUAUAUAUCGUUGUUCCAGUUUUAUUUAUUGUGUUGUAAUUAAAGAGUAUUGUAAUAUG